UGGGUGUGAAGUGAUCUUGUAGCACCUGUA
rnacentral:piRNA from 1 species